AAGGUUGGAGAUGCUAGAUACCCGUAAGUUAUAAACUUAAAACUUAGUUCUUGUUUUUAUGCAUUAUGUCAGUGUAAUAUUACCAACUUUAUAGCCAAAACCAAACCCUAUUUGGUUGAUUGGUUAACUAUAUUUCCAACCUUGCCAUACUUGAUAGUGCUCAGAUUAUUGUGCUAACCUAUUUCUGAACAGGGCCACAUUGCUAGGGCAGGGAUUGCUAGUUAAUGUGUUUUACCUUCUAAAAUUUUAAUUUUGUCACUGAAAAUUUCCCUGUGUAUUAUAAUAUCCGUGGCCUUGGAAUCUUGAAAUCACUGGUUUAUACCAUGCGAUGAAUGACAGAACAAGGUCCUUUCAUCAUUUGUUCUCUCCCCACUUUAUCCAGUCAUUUUCGGAGUGGAAGUAGUAUGUGGAUUAAUGUGAUGAAUGAUUUUUAAGUUCAUUGAGGGUUGAGAUGGUUAUCUUCUAAUUUCUUUUGGUAAGUUCAGUUGCAAAACAUGAGCUAAUUAAAAUGCCAAGAUAUAUUUGACUAGCAAGCACUGGCUCAAUUUGUAUGCAGAGUAGCGAUUGAUAUCAAUAACUCUUCAUAUGCUGAUACCUGGAAAUGUUGAUUAUACCAAAAAGGUUAAGUUUCUAACGGUUA
rnacentral:misc_RNA from 1 species